rnacentral:rRNA from 1 species
UACGAAGGGGGCUAGCGUUGCUCGGAUUGACUGGGCGUAAAGGGCGCGUAGGCGGUUUGCACAGUCGGGCGUGAAAUUCCAGGGCUCAACCUUGGGGCCGCGUUCGAGACGGGCAUUCUAGAGUGGAGAAGAGGGUCGUGGAAUUCCCAGUGUAGAGGUGAAAUUCGUAGAUAUUGGGAAGAACACCGGUGGCGAAGGCGGCGACCUGGUCUUUUACUGACGCUGAGGCGCGAAAGCGUGGGGAGCAAACAGG